UACAGAGGAUGCAAGCGUUAUCCGGAAUGAUUGGGCGUAAAGCGUCUGUAGGUGGCUUUUUAAGUCCGCCGUCAAAUCCCAGGGCUCAACUCUGGACAGGCGGCGGAAACUACCAAGCUGGAGUACGGUAGGGGCAGAGGGAAUUUCCGGUGGAGCGGUGAAAUGCGUAGAGAUCGGAAAGAACACCAGCGGCGAAAGCGAUCUGCUGGGCCGACACUGACACUGAGAGACGAAAGCUAGGGGAGCGAAUGGG
rnacentral:rRNA from 1 species